AGGGUGUACCAGGAAAAAGUGGGGCUCCAGGUGAUGCUGGUCCUCAAGGACUUCCUGGUUUACCUGGAUCAUAUGGCCAAAAAGGACACAUGGGUGUGAAGGGUAGUACAGGAGAUCCAGGAGUUGUAGGACUGAUGGGGUCUCCAGGGAAACAAGGUGAGCGUGGCGAGCAGGGAGUGGUGGGACCCGUCGGACCCAGAGGAGGACCUGGUGAACGUGGAGAGAGAGGACCCGAUGGACCUCCAGGAUCACCAGGAGCCAGGGUAAGACCUCAGAGA